GCUCCUGUGGCCUAAUGGAUAAGGCAGUGGCCUCCGGAGCCAAAGAUUGUGGGUUCGAAUCCCACCAGGAGCA
rnacentral:tRNA from 1 species